rnacentral:piRNA from 1 species
GUAUUACAUCGUGAAAGUGAACAGGAG